UACAUGGGGUGCAAACGUUGCUCGGAAUUAUUGGGCGUAAAGCGCACGUAGGCGGUUUGUUAAGUCGGAUGUGAAAUCCCUCGGCUCAACUGAGGAAGUGCAUCCGAAACUGGCAAGCUUGAGUACGAAAGAGGGUCGCGGAAUUCCCGGUGUAGAGGUGAAAUUCGUAGAUAUCGGGAGGAACACCGGUGGCGAAGGCGGGUCUCUGGGCCGAUACUGACGCUGAGGAGCGAAAGCGUGGGGAGCGAACAGG
rnacentral:rRNA from 1 species